GAUGAAGAACGUAGUGAAAUGCGAUAAGUAAUGUGAAUUGCAGAAUUCAGUGAAUCAUCGAAUCUUUGAACGCACAUUGCGCCCGCCAGCAUUCUGGCGGGCAUGCCUGUUCGAGCGUCAUUUCAACCCUCAAGCUCUGCUUGGUGUUGGGGCCCUACGGUUGACGUAGGCCCUUAAAGGUAGUGGCGGACCCUCUCGGAGCCUCCUUUGCGUAGUAACUAACGUCUCGCAUUGGGAUUCGGAGGGACUCUUGCCGUAAAACCCCCAAAUUUUCUAAUGGUUGACCUCGGAUCAGGUAGGAAUACCCGCUGAACUUAAGCAUAUCAAUAGCGGAGGA
rnacentral:misc_RNA from 1 species